rnacentral:rRNA from 1 species
AGUGGGGAAUUUUGCGCAAUGGGCGAAAGCCUGACGCAGCAACGCCGCGUGGAGGAUGAAGGAUUUAGGUUCGUAAACUCCUGUCAAGUGGGAAGAAAAAAAUGACGGUACCACUAGAGGAAGCCCCGGCUAACUCCGUGCCAGCAGCCGCGGUAAUACGGAGGGGGCAAGCGUUGUUCGGAAUUAUUGGGCGUAAAGCGUAUGUAGGCGGUCGGAUAAGUCAGACGUGUAAGCCCUCGGCUCAACCGAGGAAUUGCGUUUGAAACUAUCCAACUUGAGUAUAGGAGAGGAAAGUGGAAUUCCCAGUGUAGCGGUGAAAUGCAUUGAUAUUGGGAAGAACAUCAGUGGCGAAGGCGGCUUUCUGGCCUAUUACUGACGCUGAGAUACGAAAGCCAGGGGAGCGAACGGGAUUAGAUACCCCGGUAGUCCUGGCUGUAAACGAUGGGCACUAGGUGUAGGAGGUCAUCGAUUCCUUCUGUGCCGAAGCUAACGCAUUAAGUGCCCCGCCCU